rnacentral:rRNA from 1 species
GGCAGCACGGGAGCAAUCCUGGUGGCGAGUGGCGAACGGGUUGAGUAAUAUAUCGGAACGUGCCCAGNUCGUGGGGGAUAACGCAGCGAAAGCUGUGCUAAUACCGCAUACGAUCUACGGAUGAAAGCGGGGGAUCGCAAGACCUCGCGCGAUUGGAGCGGCCGAUAUCAGAUUAGCUAGUUGGUGGGGUAAAAGCCCACCAAGGCGACGAUCUGUAGCUGGUCUGAGAGGACGACCAGCCACACUGGAACUGAGACACGGUCCAGACUCCUACGGGAGGCAGCAGUGGGGAAUUUUGGACAAUGGGCGCAAGCCUGAUCCAGCAAUGCCGCGUGCAGGAUGAAGGCCUUCGGGUUGUAAACUGCUUUUGUACGGAACGAAACGGCGAGCUCUAAUAAAGUUCGCUAAUGACGGUACCGUAAGAAUAAGCACCGGCUAACUACGUGCCAGCAGCCGCGGUAAUACGUAGGGUGCAAGCGUUAAUCGGAAUUACUGGGCGUAAAGCGUGCGCAGGCGGUGAUGUAAGACAGAUGUGAAAUCCCCGGGCUCAACCUGGGACCUGCAUUUGUGACUGCAUCGCUAGAGUACGGUAGAGGGGGAUGGAAUUCCGCGUGUAGCAGUGAAAUGCGUAGAUAUGCGGAGGAACACCGAUGGCGAAGGCAAUCCCCUGGACCUGUACUGACGCUCAUGCACGAAAGCGUGGGGAGCAAACAGGAUUAAAUACCCUGGUAGUCCACGCCCUAAACGAUGUCAACUGGUUGUUGGGUCUUCNCUGACUCAGUANCGAAGCUAACGCGUGAAGUUGACCGCCUGGGGANUACGGCCCCAGGUUGAAACUCAAAGGANUUGACGGGACCC